GCCGCAAGCCUUUUGAAUAUCCAGAGCGACCGGCGCGGUUGUUUGUUGAGUUUGUGGCAAGCAGCAGGUGUGUGACAUCGGACGCGGGAAAACGCACAACCAACCUUGUUUAUGGCUGCAUUGCUCGACUUAAUGUCAGUUUGUAGGCUUUAGCGAAAAUCUACAGCGUUAAAGGACGUCGGGAAAAUGAUAAGACAUCGGGUGGACCAACUCUGGAUUUACAUGGAUCAAAAAAAAAGGUAGAUCUACAAACUGUAAGUCAAUUAUUUUUUAUUUUAUUGUGGGUUCCCUUGUCAGAUCUGCCCCUGCGCCUGCACUAGUUGAUUCAUUCAAAUCUGAAGACAUUUUUGAUGCAGGGACACCCCCCCCCCUGCAUUUGGGUUACACUCGAGCUGUUCGGGUCAAAAUGGCCCAGCAAUACUAAAGGCCACUUCGCCUGAGCAGUGCGUCAGCGAGGCGCCUCUGAGGAAUGGCACAGCCGGUCACAGGUUGGUAAUUCAUAUGAAAAUUCUGAGUUGCAGAGAAUGUUUUCACUUGGCGCUGUCAAUAUGGCCAUGCCAUUUGCAUCUCCAUGGUCACCUUCACAUGCCUCUGCUACAAUGGAAACGCUACGCCCCCAAAGGUGUUGGCCACAGAGAAUAAAAGCAGGACAGCUGGAUGCCUUCUUCCUUUUUGUACUCGACGCUGAACCAGCAACUAUGGCACGCGGAAUUUCCACCGACAUGGCCCUGAAGAUGAUCUUCGAGGAAGGUGAAUUUUCUGAUCUGGAUGAAGAUGAAAGAAAUUGAGGACCACAUCUCCCAGGUUUCUGAAAGCGCAAGUGACUUUGAUGAUGAUAUCUUGGACCAAGAUUUCGUUCCAAGUACUGUGGCAAAGGAAGGCCGCGCACAAUCCCGGUUGCGCACGGAGCGGCCCAGCAGGGUGAA